rnacentral:rRNA from 1 species
AACUAACGCUGGCGGCGUGCCUAACACAUGCAAGUCGUACGAGAAAGCCGGCUUCGGCUGGUGAGUAAAGUGGCGCACGGGUGAGUAACGCGUGGAUAAUCUGCCCUUAAGUGUGGAAUAACGUACCGAAAGGUGCGCUAAUACCGCAUAAUGCCUGGCAACACAAGUUGUCCGGCCAAAGAAGGCCUCUGUUUACAAGCUUUCGCUUCAGGAUGAGUCCGCGUACCAUUAGCUUGUUGGUGGGGUAAUGGCCUACCAAGGCUGCGAUGGUUAGCUGGUCUGAGAGGAUGAUCAGCCACACUGGAACUGAGACACGGUCCAGACUCCUACGGGGAGGCAGCAGUGAGGAAUAUUGCGCAAUGGGGGCAACCCUGACGCAGCAACGCCGCGUGAGUGAGGAAGGUUUUCGGACUGUAAAGCUCUGUCGAGCGGGAAGAAGUGUACCAUGGCUAAUAUCCAUGAUAAUUUGACGGUACCGCUAGAGG